rnacentral:sRNA from 1 species
UUAUGGUAAUAAGACCUCCACGCAGUUCCUAAACUUUACCCCAACACUAAUCUGUUCAGACGACCUUCAGCCUAACCUGAACCUGCAGACCAAGCCCGUGGACCCGACUGUGGAGGGGGGCGCGCAGGUGCAGCAGGUGGUCAACAUAGAGUGCGUGUCUGACUUCACGGAGGCGCCAGUCCUCAACAUUCAGUUCAGGUAAGAGCCGUCUGUGCGCCCCGGGCCAAGGCGUGUGUGGGCGCCUGAGCUGUGUGCCUGGGCUCCAUGACUGUGCCUCCGUGUCCUUCCUGAGGGGACCCAGGGCAUGCGGUGCUCACGGUGCAUGGAUGUGGCCUGAGCUGUUG